rnacentral:rRNA from 1 species
CGUCUAUAUACGUAUAGCAUAUCAAUAAGCGGAGGAAAAGAAACUAACUAGGAUUCCCUCAGUAACGGCGAGUGAAGCGGGAAGAGCUCAAAUUUGAAAUCUUCAAGGUUCUACCUUGACGAAUUGUAGUUUAAAGAAGUGUUUUCUGUUGGAGUUUUGGUAAAAGUUCUUUGGAAUAGGACAUCAUAGAGGGUGAGAAUCCCGUAUUUGACCAUUAUUUCCAACUUUGUGAUACACUUUCAAAGAGUCGGAUUGUUUGGGAAUGCAGUCCAAAAUGGGUGGUAAAUUUCAUCUAAAGCUAAAUAUUGGCGAGAGACCGAUAGCGAACAAGUACCGUGAGGGAAAGAUGAAAAGAACUUUGAAAAGAGAGUUAAACAGUACGUGAAAUUGUCAAAAGGGAAGCGUUUGACACCAGUGUUGUUUUCUCGAAAAUCAAUUAAAAAUGGCAGGAUUUUGUGUUGUAUUGACUUUAUCAGCUUUCUGCACUUUUUUCCUGUCUUUUUUAAUGCACUUUUCGUUUAACAAGUCAACAUCAAUUUCUUUUGUUGUAAAAGGGUCAUUGGAAGGUGGCUUUCCUUUUCGGAGAAAGUGUUUAUAGCCUUUGACUUCUGCAAUCGGAGAGAUUGAGGUCUGCAGCGUAGAUCCUUCGGGGUUAGAUGCAUUUGUGCUAAGUUAUAGCCUUUCAUAGACAACUUGUUGACUAUGAUCAGUCAUGUAGCUUACUCGCUUAUGUCAUUUUACCUACGCUUAGGAUGUUGACGAUCAGCUGAGCGCG